AGUGAGGAAGGUAGGGACACUGGUUGAGAGCCCAUUACUGUCACAGCCCCUGCCCCCAGGCUUGAGGCUUCUAAGGGUCUGAGCUCUUCAAGAAGGAGCAGAGAAACUGCCCUUCUCCAACCACACAUACACACACUUUAAAAUCAGUCUUCAGCUGGCCCCCUUCCUUCUCACACUCGUUAUAGCUUCACCUUAAGUAUCAACACCAGAAACAAUCUGAGGUUGGCUUUGUGCCAGCCACUGGACCAGGAGGAGCAGGAAAUACUGCCUCUACUAUCAGGGAGACUACAUUGCAGCUAGGGAGACCAAGCAUGGAUAUUUGGAAAAACAAAAUAGUACGUAACUACCAGGUGAGAGCUCACACUGGAUGUUUCCCCGUUUGUAAAAUAAGGGUGGAUGAUCUCCACUCUAAAACUACCGUAGGUGCCAGAGGAAUUUAGGGAAGAGAGAAUCCUUCUCAAGGGUCUUCUCUCACUACCAAACCCUUGGGGCCCCAGGGGCAUCCUUUACGCACCAGGAUUUGGGAAAAUGAUCCGGUCUGGAUAGGCCACAGCGCCUCCUAGAGGAAGAGCAGGAAAGGACAGGAGAGUUAAUCGCCCUUAGUUUUCUUCACCUGAGUAACUCAAGGAGGAAAGGAGCCAUCUGGGAUUUCCGGGUAGUUUAUGGGAAAGGGGCAGUGGAGCAGGGGAGGAUGCGGUGUGUGACCUCGAAGGAAGCCACAGCAGCACGGCCGAUGGGGUUUGCCUGAACCGCCCAGCCACCUCUGCUGACCUGGCUCUUCAUGCUGCCUCACGAUGCUUCAGCCCCAAGAACUGAGGGCUCAAGGGACCCACAGGCUUUGGUUUUCUGGCCCUGGGAUGUACCCCCACCCCCCAGGCUGCACCUUUCUCCAGGAUUAAAGCCCCUUUCCUCCCCACUCCCGAGGACGCUUCACAGGAACAGAGCUGGGAAAUCUCUCAGCUGUGUGUCAUUUCACCAGAGUGGUCUUUUAAAAAGAAGUCACAGAGCCUGAUGCAGGGCUCGAAGUCGCAAACUGUGAGGCCAUGACCGGAGCCGAAGUCUGACGCUUAACUGAUUGAACCACCCAGGCGCCCCACACCAGACUGGUCUUGAAGCAAUUAUUCUCGACAUGUGCUCUGCCCUGGGGAUACAGGGUGAAGAACGCCCCGGUGGUGCUUUCUUUUAGUGAGGGAGGCGCCCACAAACAGACGAACUCUGGGGGUGGUCGCGCCCUUGAAGAAAGUCCAGCAUGGUGAAGGGGUGAAGACCGACAGAGGGAGGAAGUUGCUCCAUCACAGACUUCUCAGGGAAGGCCUCUGGUAGUAUGGUGUUUAAGCAUAGACCUGAAUGGAGUGAGCGAA